CUGUUGCGGUUAAAGCUCGUAGUUGGACUUCUGCUGAGGACGACCGGUCCGCCCUCUGGGUGAGCAUCUGGUUCGGCCUUGGCAUCUUCUUGGGGAACGUAGCUGCACUUGACUGUGUGGUGCGGUAUCCAGGACUUUUACUUUGAGGAAAUUAGAGUGUUUCAAGCAGGCGCACGCCUUGAAUACAUUAGCAUGGAAUAAUAAGAUAGGACCUCGGUUCUAUUUCGUUGGUUUCUAGAGCUGAGGUAAUGAUUAAUAGGGAUAGUUGGGGGCAUUCGUAUUUAACUGUCAGA
rnacentral:rRNA from 1 species